GUGGAAAGCCUUUGCCCAAGAAAACAGGCAACAGCUGAAACCACUGAACCAAAGAUGAGCUGAGGUUAGGUCAAGUAUUCAGAGAGGCGUCUGAGGCAGUGGUCAGGGAAGGUGAUGCAGGUAGGACCCCAAGCCGUGGCAGCAACACGGAGCCAGAGUGUGUGUGGGGACAGACUCCGUGCUGUGACUGGUGGUGUGACGUGGGGGUCCUGACUGAGACUGCCAGUCUACUAUGUGAUGGAGAUUUGGCCACUGCCAACUACCAACUUGUUCCAGCGACAAGACAGUCUAUGACAGGGUUUCACAAUGAAAGGCAAUGUGGAAUGGAGAGAAAAUAUAACACAGUC
ensembl:lncRNA